rnacentral:rRNA from 1 species
AUUGAACGCUGGCGGCAGGCCUAACACAUGCAAGUCGAACGGUAGCACAGAGAGCUUGCUCUUGGGUGACGAGUGGCGGACGGGUGAGUAAUGUCUGGGAAACUGCCUGAUGGCGGGGGAUAACUACUGGAAACGGUAGCUAAUACCGCAUAACGUCGCAAGACCAAAGAGGGGGACCUUCGGGCCUCUUGCCAUCAGAUGUGCCCAGAUGGGAUUAGCUAGUAGGUGGGGUAAUGGCUCACCUAGGCGACGAUCCCUAGCUGGUCUGAGAGGAUGACCAGCCACACUGGAACUGAGACACGGUCCAGACUCCUACGGGAGGCAGCAGUGGGGAAUAUUGCACAAUGGGCGCAAGCCUGAUGCAGCCAUGCCGCGUGUAUGAAGAAGGCCUUCGGGUUGUAAAGUACUUUCAGCGAGGAGGAAGGUGGUGAGGUUAAUAACCUUAUCAAUUGACGUUACUCGCAGAAGAAGCACCGGCUAACUCCGUGCCAGCCGCCGCGGUAAAAC